GUGCUCACUCCGUCAGGACGUAUACUGAGAUUGGAACGAUACAGAGAAGAUUAGCAUGUCCCCUAUGCAAGGAUGACAUGCAAAUUCGUGGGGUGUUGCAUGUUUUU